AACGCAUAUUGCGCUCGAGGCCUCGGCUAAGAGCAUGUCUGCCUCAGCGUCGGGUUAAUAUCAUACCAACCAUACCGUCCGUGUAUGGCUCUCUGGUAUGGACCUGGCUGUUCCAGUGGCUUGACCUGGGUGUGCGUGGGCAAACCUGUAACAGGGGAUGCUACCUAUGCCUGGUCAGUAUCACAGUCGCUGGAUCAGCUGAAGCACAGAGGCUGAUCAGGGACCCGCUAAGGGCCGCAACUGGGUAGGCAUUUACCGAUGCUACAUCUAGUUGUUGGUCUGGGACUUUGUGUUGGCCCUCCAACAGGAACCUAUUAACCCCUUAUUAUCUCGACCUGAGCUCAGGCAAGAACACCCGCUGAACUUAA
rnacentral:misc_RNA from 1 species